rnacentral:rRNA from 1 species
UUUUAGUUUGACCUCCCGAAACUAAGUGAGCUACUCCUAAACAGCUUUUAGAGCCAACCCGUCUCUGUUGCAAAAGAGUGGGAUAAUUUAUGAGUAGAGGUGAUAGACCUAUCGAACUUAGAGAUAGCUGGUUAUUUAAGAAAAGAAUUUUAGUUCAGCCUCAAGCCUCCUUUUAACUAAAAAAUUCCCUAAGGCUCGAGAGUUACUCAAAUAAGGCACAGCUUAUUUGAAACAGGACACAACCUAGAAUACAGGGUAAAACAUAUUUAAUUGACCCAUAAGUGGGCCUAAAAGCAGCCAUCUUACAAAAAGCGUCAAAGCUUAUCGGCGCCAAUUUUCCAAUAACAUAAUUGAUCUUUAACCCGCACCCACUAUUAAAUAAAUCCAUAAACCUAUGGAAGCUAUAAUGCUAGAACAAGUAACAAGAAAAAGUAUUUCUCCAAAAUGUAAGCCUCAGCCGCAAUAGACAAUCUACCGGCAAUUAACGCCUAUGAGCCCAAUAUAACAACACCAACAAGAAAACCCUACAGACCCCNNCGUCAACCUUACACUAGUACAUUUAUGGAAAGAUUAAAAGAGCGGGAAGGAACUCGGCAAAUUUUGAUCCCGCCUGUUUACCAAAAACAUCGCCUUUUGAUUUACUAUAAAAGGUCCAGCCUGCCCGGUGAUUAAAUUUAACGGCCGCGGUACCCUAACCGUGCGAAGGUAGCAUAAUCACUUGUUCUUUAAAUGAGGACUAGUAUCAACGGCAUCACGAGGUUCCUACUGUCUCCCCCCUCCAGUCAGUGAAACUGAUCUCUCCGUGAAGAAGCGGAGAUACGCAUAUAAGACGAGAAGACCCCAUGGAGCUUUAAACCCAACAACACCCGCCUCCCUUAAACCCUAUUAUCAGCCCGGCGAUUGUUUGCUUGGUUUUAGGUUGGGGUGACCACGGAGUACAAAACAUCCUCCAUGAAAAAAAGCUAACUGCCCUUAUUAGAGAAAGACAUUUCCAAAAAAUAACAAAUUAAUUUUUAAUGACCCGAUAUUCGAUCAACGAACCAAGUUACCCUGGGGAUAACAGCCCAAUCCGCCCCGAGAGCCCCUAUCGACAGGCGGGUUUACGACCUCGAUGUUGGAUCAGGGUAUCCUAGUGGUGCAGCAG